rnacentral:tRNA from 1 species
GCGGGGAUAGCUCAGCUGGGAGAGCGUCAGACUGAAGUCCAACUUCAUUCUUAUAUCUGAAGGCCGUGUGUUCGAUCCACACUCACCGCA